ACGUUAGUGCGAUUGAUUUAGCGGCCGCCGUUCGAUCUUGUGCCAGCAGCCGCUAUGAUUCCAGCUCCAAUAGCGUAUAUUAAAGUUGUUGCGGUUAAAAAGCUCGCCUGUGAACCUUGAACCUGGCUGGCCGGUCCGCCUCACCGCGUGCACUGUCCCGGCCGGGCCUUUCCCUCUGUGGAACCCCAUACCCUUCACUGGGCGUGGUGGGGAAACAGGACAUUUACUUUGAAAAAAUUAGAGUGCUCCAGGAAGGCCUAUGCUCAAAUACAUUAUCAUGGAAUAAUAAAAUAAGACGCGCGGUUCUAUUUUGUUGCUUUAUAGUACCGCCGUAAUGAUUAGUAUCGACAGCCGGCCCCAUCAGUAUUCAACUGUCAGAGGUGAAAUUCUUGGAUCAGUUGAAGACUAACUACUGCGAAAGCAUUUGCCAAGGAUGUUUUCAUUAAUCAGGAACGAAAGUUAGGGGAUCGAAGACGAUCAGAUACCGUCGUAGUCUUAACCAUAAACUAUGCCGACUAGGGAUCGGACGGUGUUAUUCAUGACCCGUUCGGCACCUUACGAGAAAUCAAAGUGCUUGGGCUUCUCAAAAAAAAAAAAAAAGAAGGCUGAAACUUGAAGAAGUGACGGAAGGGCACCACCAGGGGUGUAGUCCUGCUGUCUUUAUUUUGACUCAACACGGGGAAACUCACCAGAGUCCAGACACAAUAAGGGAUUGACAGAUUGAGAGCUCUUUCUUGAUUUUGUGGGUGGUGGUGCAUGGACGGUCCUUAGUGGUGGGGGACUUGUCUGCUUAAUUAGCGAUAACGAACGAAACCUUAAACCUGCUAAAUAGGCCCGCAUUGCUGCGGGCAGUGCGGCUGGCUUCUUAAAGGACUUUCGGAUCAGGCGAAGGAGUUGAGCAAUAACGGUCUUGUGAUGGCCUUAAAAUGUUCUGGACGGCAGCGCGGUUAAAACUAGAACGGU
rnacentral:rRNA from 1 species